GAGCUGACCAGGGAGGACUUCUGCAGCCAGCUGAAAGCCCAUCGCAGACCAUGCUUCCUCAGUAAUCUGUCAUCAGCAGAGCACACUAUCAGGACAAAAAGUCAAACUUCUUCUUUUUCCACUGAGUUCUGGUGAGGAGUCAGAGAUGUGGAAGUGACCUUUUUGAACUGGACCUUCUGGUGUUUCAGGCUCAACGCCUGCAGUGGAAUUGCCAGCUCAUGCCUGAACCAAUGAUUGAGCACCAGGCUGCAAACAAGGCUGAAAUAACCAUUCUGGGUAAUAAGAGAGCUCCAUCACAUCGACUUGCUGCAUAAUUCCCUCCCGACAGACUGGCUUGGAUUUUGUUGCCUGCCUCUCUACCAGAUGAAAAGACCUCUGGUUUCCAAUACAUCAGACCAACGGCCUGUAGAAGAACAAUUAUCUCAGGGCUUUUAAUUGCUGUCAUAUUAGAAGGAUGCCAGAAGGAAAACACGAGGGAAAAGCCCCAUUCAGAGGUAGGUUCCUCUCUGCCAGGACUGGCUCGGAGGCAGCCUUUUUCCCUGAGUUUCAUUCACAGGAGCUUCUCAACUCUUUUACAGAGCUGCAUUUAGCCCUGGGUCCUGGCCAGCUCCUGAAAUCUCAUUUCCCUGGCAGUGAGGAUGGGAAGAGGGCCCUUGGUUUUGUUACCAAGCACUGCAGCCCUACCGAAGGCUGGGGAUGGAUGCUACCUUCCAGCCACCCGCUGUGCUGUACUGUGACUCUUUUAUUUUAGAAGGAAUGUAGUUAAACAGGGGAUAUUAGCUACUGGAAAAGCAACAGCAAAAUAUGCAAUGUUUCUAAAUUCUUACCAAAUAAAGGCUAAUUGUUCCGUGGAUAAAAUGAGGGGUGUUGGCCCUACAGCCAAGAUGCUGCAGACAGAAAGCAAAAGAAAAACAAGGCAAUGAACGAAACACAGAGAGGGCAACACAAACAAGAAAGCAAUGUGAUCUAUGAAACUAUUACAUAUAAUCUCUCCAUGUACUUAUACUGUAUGGGAGCUGCUCAGUCACGGCCUGAACCUCUGAUUGAUCACCUGAAGUGAGCCAUGAGUCAGCCAGAGGAGCACAGGUGAAGACAAUUCCUAGACCUAUUUAAGAGCUGGCUACCAGUGGGGAAGGAUCUCUCCCGGAGAUGUGCUCUGCUGGAGUUUUGUAAGUGAGCCCAGGAUACAGCCCACGUCUGAGUCAGCCCUGGACUUGGACUAACCCUAGCUGCAGACUGAGCUCAUAAGGACUUCAUAACUUGCUGGCAAACCUUAAAGAACAGGCAAGUGUUGGAAACAAGCGAGGCACCACCAGCCCCCUGCAAAAAGAGGGGGAGGCAGAUGGGUUGUGAGGCAUGGUGAGGGUGGGCUGGGUGAGCUACCUCUUGGCCAUGCAUUGGGGCAUCACCAGGUCACAGGUGCUUGGCACAAUUGUCACCACCUGUGCACGACCUUCUCCAGGAGGCUUCUGCCCCAUUCUUGUUUCUUUCUGUUUUUGACAGUCUCCCUUCCUCUGCCUUCUAAAACUAUUCUCUGAGCUCUGAUAUCCGCUCAAGAUCAGCCUCGGGUAUUUUCAGAGGUGAUGGAGAAGACUGUGAAAAGAACUGCCGGUGGUUUAAGCCCUUGGCAAAAAAUAUGGUGUGUUGGAGAGAUGCCUGUGAGGGGAGUGGGGCUCAUGCCCUAGGGUGGGUGUGCAGAGCAAUAGGGCAGUGCCUGAGGAUGGAGGCUGGAGUGCAAUGAGAGGUUGAAACGUGGCUGCGCCUCUCCCCCUUCUGUACUUUCAGUAGAUGGAAACUGAGCUCUAAAUUGCCUUGGGCACUUGGAGUUGUGUCUUCAUGGACAAAGCAAGGAGGCUGGCUGCAGUGACGUGCGGCUUGUAAAAGCUCCCUGCUGUAGCAAUGGCACUUUCAUGCACAUGGAGCAACCCAAGGCAGCCAACACACACCUAUUUGUGCAGCAAGCAUUAAAAAACAGACCCACCUUGGCCAGAUCUGCUCCCAGGCCACGGCCAUCUCAGCGUGUUUAUGGCUUUCACUUGUGGGCUGUUUGGGAUCAUUAAAUAAAUGUCACAGGAACUCUGGAGGUGGUAAGUAAUCAGAGCAGCCGGGAGAGCUGAAACAACUGCAAGGGCAAGAAAAAUAUUUUGCAAAGGAAACUUCACUGAACUCUUCCACAGAAGACAAAGGAGGUGAAAAGGAGCAACUUUCUGUUUCAUUUUGAAUGGAUAUUUUUCCGCUCUCAUUGCUUUCCGGAAGACAAAAAAAAAUGUCAGCAGAGAUGCUUUCAUCAGAAGGUAAUUCUGCUUGAGAUGUCUGGCAGAUGAAGCGAGGCUUUCAUUGCUCUGCUCUCCCCUCUGGGGCUGGGAUGGGUCACCUUUUCCAACAUGAGUGCCAGGAUGGAGCUUGCUGGUUUUCCAAGGACGUUGGCAUUGGGGUGCCCUUGAGGCCCAGCCUUUUCUGCUGGGGUUGUGCAAUGCUUUGUUCUGGCUCACAGGCAGAACUAAAAGCAGAACUUAGGGAUCUCAUUUAUUGUCAGUCUGGAACCCGUUUGAGGAAAGGGCAAUGUUAUGAGUUGCACUCUUGCUGCUGUUGUUGUCAUAAACUCACACGUUUAUGGAGUGUGCAUGGCUCUGGGAAUUGUUUUAAUGCUGAAUGCUGUUGUUCCAGUCUUUUAACCAACUUCCCUUUAUUGAUUACUAGGCUCCUUUUAGAUUUGAAGUCCCAGCCCAUGCUAGAAGCCCAUCUCCCCACACCACUGCCCCAUUAGUGAUAUCAAACCAGUCACUUCCAGCAGAGCACAGACCCCACGUCAGCACUCCCCAAAUCCUGCAGACCCAUCCUCCCAUCAGGCCAAUCAAGAUAUGAUUAAGAAGACACAAAACCCACAGUGAGAGGAGUAAACCAGUGUGGACAAUAGCAAUGCUAAUUGCCUGGCAAGCCUGUACUCAGCACUUCAAGGAUCUUUUCCAGCUGGCUAUGUCCAGCCUUAUCCUUCCCAACAAGGAGGCAAAUUUGCAACGUGAUUAUGGUGGCUGCAUCUCUCUACCCCAUGCCAGCUUGCUGCAAGCUGCUCCUGUUGGAUGUCCCACAGUACCAGUGGAUUCAUGUGUGUCUAGUAAUGGGAAGCCCACCCUUACAUAGACCUAUAUGUAACCUUACUCCCUUUUUGCCUCGUGCACCUCUUCUGACAAUGCUUAGUCCCUAUAUGAAUGCUGUGGGAGCAUCCUUGUUGUAUCUGUGGCUCCUGGUGCCCAAACCCCAUCGCAGAGCGUUACUAUCCAACCUAUGCACGCCUGUCUGCUCUUUGGUACUGCCUUCUCCAUUUGCUCUCCUCUGUCUUUUCUUUUCUUAGAAAGCUUCAUUUUAUGUGAAAUCACCAAGUCACAAAAUAUCUGUAGGAAUGUAUGAAGCUUGUCAUAAAACCCAAACCUCUCUAAUGAAAAACUUCUGCUAGGAGAAGCAAACUCUGUUUCAUGUUGAGAGGUCCCAGGCGCACUAUUUGGCAAAAAGACUGCAGGAAGAGGCUCUGCAGGACUCUUGCUUUUACCUGCUGUUUCCUGGGGAGCCAGGAAGAUGUCCUGCGUGGGAUGGAAGGGGAGUGCUGGGGACAUCCUCUCAUCCUGGCAGAGGAAGUGAUGGAUGCAGAGGUAGGACAAGACUUCUCCGUCACAGAGACUUGGAUGAAAAGCCUACCCUGUGAAAUAUUUAUUAUGUGGCAUGUCUGGUGGAGGUAGAUUUCUGUCACUGAGCUUUUUUCCUCUUGCUUUGUAUCCAUCUCACUUCCUUUUCAGACCCGCCUUGUUCCAGCAUUUAUGGAAAGUAUGUGGCAAAAGACCAGAAGAGCUAAUUUUUCCUGUUCUUGUUUCACAAAGUGCUUCCCCCGCAGUCCUGCCUACAAAGACUCAGAGAAAUUCAGGAUGGAAAGGACCUGUUGGUUUGCUUUCUGUGCUCCUGCCAAGGUGAAAGCUUCCCAUGCAGUGCAGUCUUCAGUGCAUCAGCUCUUCCAGGUUUAAAUGAUGCAGGUGUCUUGUUGAGAUGAAACUUUUCCUGUGCUGUGACAGCAUAGAUAAUGGUUGAGAUGUCUUUGUAUUACAUGUGGAUCUCAAAGUGGCCCAGUUGGAAGGCAAGGUCAGCACCAGUCCUGUUUGGACUUCUGGUCUGGUGUAGUUCAGGUUUGAGCUUUCCCCUUACCUGCUCCUGUGCUUGCACCCCUGGUUGUAAUGACCUGAGAGUGUCCCCUUGCUACGUGCAUAUACCAAACCCAGCAAGGAGGUUUAAAACCACAACGGUUAACCACUUCUAAACACAAGAUAAAAGCCUCUGUGUUUGCUGGCCAGAGGGUCUGCUUCCAGACUGAGCACAGUGUGUCCUGCACACUGAGCACUGUGUUCCAGACUGAACACAGCUGCAUUAGCAAGGUGGAGAUGCACCUGCAUGCAGCACAAGGCAUUUGCUGACUGUGGUUGGAAUCCUGCUUCGUUGGCUUCUCAUCUGCUGAGCUUUUCAAGUGAAUAUGGUGCAAAUGCUCAGAAAGGGGAAAUGCUGGCAAUGAAAACAGACAGCAAGCUGCAGCGGGAUGUCAGCAUUGCACUCGUGCUACUUCAACACCCACAAGUCCCCAGGGCUAGAUACAGUGAUGUCCGCAGCUUCUGGGAGUCAUAGUGCCACUUCUGGCUGGUGGAUCCUGCCAACAAGAUGCAGCUCUGAGCUGAUCCUCAGAAUCCAAAGAGCAAAUGAGCACCACGUUUCCAUUUGCGGGCCCACAUAGGCAGGUCUGAAGGGAUGCUCUGGAGGGUCCCCACUCCAUGAGUAAAUCCUCAGCCACAUAUGUGGGGCCACAUCUGGAUGUGAACCAGCUGUUGGCAGCCUGAGCCACAACACACAAAGAGGCCAUUGCAGCACAGGCUUUGGGUCACAGAGAGGAAAGCCCAGGAGCUGGUCACAAGCGUUGGGGCCGUGAAAUCUGAUUCUGUUGGAUGUUAUGGGCAAGGAACCUUGAACAUCAUGGACAGGUGGCCGGGGCUUGGGAAGGGGCUGUAACAAGGCAUCGUGGACACAAGAUCCUCUUUGUUAGGAUGCUGCUGUAGGAGAAGUGACUGCGUGAGAGGUUUUGGCACAGCUGCCUGAACUCCUUACCUCCCGCAGAUGAAAGCCUGCCUUUCUAAUCGUGUCUUUUAUUACGCUCUCCAAAAUGCUCUCCUGCCAUCCCACUGGGUUCGUAGGGGGAACAGGUGUUUUUAACAGGAGAUUAAUGGUUUUAAAAGCGUGCCCUGGGAGGCAUGGCAAUGCAUCACGCUCCUGUUGGGAUGUGGGAUGCUGAACCCGGCAGGGAGGUUCAUAGCAGAGCAUCUCCCUUGCUGGUACAGGAUGCUUGUCCCACCUCACACAGAUGAUGAUGUGGGGUUGCUUUAGGCAGAGCCUGAGCUGUUUAGAGGCUGGCCAAGCACAAGCCAGGUUGUCAACAGAGGCACUGAGGAGCUCCCCGAGCUCCAAGUGCCAGCAGCACCCCUGGGGUGCCCCAUGCAUCCCAUCUUGCUGAUAAGGGUAGGAGAGGCACUGCUGGGGGGCUCCUGCACAGGGAUCGUUUGCAGGAGUCGAGUGCCCCACUCCAUCACUCAAACACUUUGUGCCGGGCAAGGAAUCCCCCUGCAUCCCCCCAGAUUUCCCCUUUUGCA